UGCCCUUGAAGUGGAAGGGAUCCUCCUGCCUCAGGCUCCCAAGUGCUGGGAUUACCAGGCCUGGUGGAGUUUUCUUACCGAGGUGCCGAGUGUGGCUGGUGGCUAAGAUGCCCCCAGGUGCCCCACCUCCUGGUGUGACUCCCUCCCCUGUGCAGGAGUGGGACCCAGAAACUCGCCUCCCAGGCAGACAGUACUGCAGGGGCAGAGAGGGACACCCUCUUCGGGCCCAGGGUGGUGGCAUCGCUGUCCUGAGCUGGUGGUCCUGAGUUCUGCCACCAACCACAGGAGUUUGAGGACAGAUCAGAUGAGACACCCUGUGCCUUGCUGAGGUUUGUGGGUGCCAGCUGGCCAAGGGACCCUAAGGCAGAGGACUCAGCUGAGCUGUACCUGGAAUGUGGCCCACAGAAAUGGCGGGGGCGGGGGAAUAAAUACAUGACUGAGGCCACUAAGUUUGAGUUGUAGAAAAUAUACUUAGAGCUGGUACCAAUUCGUGGGCUUAUGUUUGAAUAGCCACCCCUGCCCCUUUUGGAGAGGGUGUUUCCCUAUAUGCUGAGGCUGGCCUUGAAGUUGAGAUCCUCCUGCCUCAGCCUCCUGAGUAGCUGCGAUUGUAGGUAUAUGCAAAGAGGCCCAGCUUAAAUGGUUUAUUUUAAAAGGCAAUUCAUUUUAGGCAAAAAUUCUAUGAAAUCAGAUUUCGAUGUUCUAGAUUUUUUUUUUUUCCCUGAAACACAAAAAUGUAGCCAUAGCAAUGUUCAUGCUGAAGCAGGAAGACAAAGGAAAAAGAUACAGGAGGACACCUUGCCCUGGCAAGAAGCAGCUGCUGACAUCACAACACAGGCCCGCUUACUGCUUCAGCUGCUGGGCUGUGAGAAACGGAAGAGGCAACCUUGGCGUUAGGCUGUGACUCACUCAUGGACCACGGAAACCAUGUAUUGGGCCAACUCCUACGAAUCAGCCACUUAUUUCCUUUAAAACAAAAUAGGGUAGAAAUAGCAACUUGAACUGCAGGUGGCUGAGAGCGAAGAUUGCUUCAGGAAAAUUCUCUCAGUCGGGCGUGGGGGCGCACGCCUGUAAUCCUAGACCUUGGGAGAUGGUGGCAGGAGCACGGCCGCUAGUUGGAGGCCAGCGUCGGCUACACAGUGAGUUCAAGUCCAGCCUGAACUGCGUACUGAGAUGAGGUCUCAGACAAAACGAAACGAAACAAAACAAAACAAGGAACAUUACGGAAACCCACAUGAUGCUGAAGGCCCGUCGAGGACUAUUUUAAGACCCAAAUGACACUUUUGUACACUAUCCGCCACCAAACGUGCCUGAUGGAAUUGACUGCAGAGGGGUGAGGACACACGCAGACACAGUACAGUGUAACGGGACUGCCCUCAGCGUCCACAACUGCACCCAAGCUGUCCAGCAGGCUGUUUCCGGGAUGGACGACCGAGGGCCCAGUUUGCGUCACGUAACACUGCCCACGUGCAGUAAAGGCCUAAGCUGGAAACGAGGCCCAGAACCUCCUACUUCCUGGCUGAGGACGGCCUGCAUCAGCUGGGAACUGCAGCGGAAGGGAAGCGAGUAGACCGGCGGCCUCCGAAUUCCUGGCACCAUAUUGAGCCCCUGUGCACUUCUGAACUAGUGAUGGGACUUGGUGACUGAGCAGCCAGCUAGAGUUUAUUUCUAUCCAAACUAACCUGUUCUAGCACUGUUUACGCAGAAAUAAAACUUGACUUUUUUCCCUACACACUCAAUAAAAUAUACUUGUAAGUGCGCUGCGAUCUCCCCACA